rnacentral:piRNA from 1 species
UACAUUGAGAAAUAUUGCUCUGUCUGUACA